UGCUGAUGAAGUUCCUCUAAACAGAUCAUGAUUGUUUUCUCUAAGACAUCACAAAUGUGAAACUUGCAAUGUUUGCGAAACAGUCUCUGUGGUAAACGAAAUGAAACUUAUUUGCCGCUCUGUCAAAACGUGCUUUUCUGGGAGUAUCAAUAAAAAGAGAAUGGAGAAGAUGCUUAGAGCACUACAAUUAGAGACUUUUUCAGAAGAUAUAACAAUGUUCAAUUCUGUAGCUUUGGCCAAUAGAUGAUCAAAAUUGCAUGAAAGCAGCAUUAUAGAAUACAAUACUAUUAAAAAUAUUCUUUUAAAGAUUGGUGUUAGACAUUCAGUAACACAUCAUACCAAAACCUGCUGAACAAUUACAGAUUCAAAAUUCACCAUAGACUAAUAAAUCCACUUUAAACCCUUUAAUACAAACCCAGUACUUUCAAAGGGCCUCCCUAUGACUACUGGAAUUCAUCUUCUGUCAGGGCUCUGAGAGCACCACCAGUCACUGAUUGUCCUCAUCAGCAUCAUCUGGGACCUUCACCCAGGCAUUGUCUGCCCAUUGGCCCAGGAACCGCAUUUAAGCUCAGGCCCUUGCUGGUGUUCCCUUUCUGAGCUGCUUGUUCAUGUGUUUAGGCUCAGCUGGUACCUUGCUGGUUGGGAUUUGCCCUCAGACCUGUCUGUUUGCUCAGGACUUGCAUGUUGACUGCCAGGCCUGCUCUGUUCCACACCGCUUGCCUGGGUGCUGCAGCCUUGCUGGUGCUAUCUCUUCACAUCACUCAUGCAAUUAAUGGAUUCUAACUCAGCUCAGAUUUGUCAGGUUGACAAAGGCUUCUUUGAUCUGCAAAGGGCAAACAUGCAUCAUUGGAAAGACUGCAGGGAAACCAAGAAACUGCUCAAGGCCAGCAACUGUGAUACUCCUGUUUAGUCAUCUCAUUAAUGAGAAGGUGGUGAAUGUUACGACUAUUUCCCAAAAUAUUGUGGUACAGGUGUUUGAGGAAACAAUUUUCUUAAAAAGAAAAAAAGCCUUUGUUGAACUGCAAAUUCAAGAAAUGGACACCAUAAUUUUGUGUCUUGAAGUAUCCCAUUAGAGCGGGCAAGAACAGUGCCUGCUGGAGUCCUGUCUUUUAGAGAAAGAUGAUUAUAUCAUUGGCUGUGCUCAUGCACUAUAGCUUAGGUUUUAUAAAGGUGAAAUACAGAGCAUUUGAAUCCCACAAAUUUGAAGACUAACAGCAUUUUAAUAUUCCUUGCAAGACCUCCUGACGUACACAAGGUGUCAAAGAAAUGGCACCUUAGAACCUACCUCUUUGGCAACAGUUGUCCUGUAUAGGUGCCCAACUGGAAUAACCAGACUGAGAAAUGAUGAUGGACCUCUUCGAAAAUAUCAAAGUGAAAUAUUUACUGAACACGCAUCAGAGGCUUUGGUAUCUGGGUCAUGGUAAUGCUUCGAUCUUCUGGUACUGUGUCAUUCUUUUAUCACGCAUACUCUAUUAAUGCUUUGCCUUACACUGUGGCUUUGUCUUACGCUUCUUGUAAAGCUUUCAAUUUGUUUUAAAUCUGAUUGUAACUGGGUUCACUCCGUGUGGCUAUUAUGAGGGGGGGAGCUAUAAACCACUCAUGUCAAACUGUGUUAUCCUUUAGGCAUGACUAUUAUUUCUGCUUUCAGGAUGUUAAGAAUGUGUUUGUGUUCCCUAUGUACUGUUUCAGCUUGUGAGUGAGCCACAAAACCCAGUUUGGAUUGAAAAAGCAAAUGUUCUAGUUCUUGCAUUGUUAUGGUUAGGUUUUAAAAGACCUUCUUUGGACCCUUUGAAAAGUUUAAAUAUAGUGGUUUUUUACUCUUUGUUCUUUGACACUCAGAGGCUCAGAGUUUUGCAUGUCUUCUGAACAAAAUAAAAACUGGUCUUUGGACUUUUUAGAUCCAUGGCUCAUCUGAAAGACUUGGGCUGUCAUUUAGCAUGAACAAAUGUACAUAUGAGAAAUAACAUUCUGUCUCUAAGGUCCUCCUGCAGUUAAUCAGACACCGUCUGCUGUGUGCCAUUCCAAUCCUGCUGUGAGGGUUGGAUUCACUCACGAAAUAAGGAAUCCUGCAGACACUUGCAUAAUAGGCAUCUUAAAUUCUCUUCAGAUUACCUUCCUGCUCUUUGUUGCUUUCUCUUGUAUGUGGUCAGAGAGCACCUGGUUGUGUUUCUGUUAUGAUCUCGGUCUUUCCCUGUCCUUGAUGACAACACACAAUCUCUAGGCAUCAUCUAGGCAAUCCUACUGGAUUUGGCAAGAGCUCUCUGUACUUCUCCAGUGUCUCUGUAUUUAGGUAUCUGUAUGGCAAUGAAUAAAUCCUAUACAUAGGAGUUUAGAAAGAUUCAGUGUCUG